rnacentral:rRNA from 1 species
AAUGAACGCUGGCGGUAGGCCUAACACAUGCAAGUCGAACGGCAGCACAGUAAGAGCUUGCUCUUACGGGUGGCGAGUGGCGGACGGGUGAGGAAUACAUCGGAAUCUACUUUUUCGUGGGGGAUAACGUAGGGAAACUUACGCUAAUACCGCAUACGACCUACGGGUGAAAGCAGGGGAUCUUCGGACCUUGCGCGGAUGAAUGAGCCGAUGUCGGAUUAGCUAGUUGGCGGGGUAAAGGCCCACCAAGGCGACGAUCCGUAGCUGGUCUGAGAGGAUGAUCAGCCACACUGGAACUGAGACACGGUCCAGACUCCUACGGGAGGCAGCAGUGGGGAAUAUUGGACAAUGGGCGCAAGCCUGAUCCAGCCAGACCGCGUGGGUGAAGAAGGCCUUCGGGUUGUAAAGCCCUUUUGUUGGGAAAGAAAAGCAGCAGGUUAAUACCCCGCUGUUCUGACGGUACCCAAAGAAUAAGCACCGGCUAACUUCGUG